GGGUAGUUUGACUGGGGCGGUCUCCUCCUAAAGAGUAACGGAGGAGCACGAAGGUCAGCUAAUCCUGGUCGGACAUCAGGAGGUUAGUGCAAUGGCAUAAGCUGGCUUGACUGCGAGCGUGACGGCGCGAGCAGGUGCGAAAGCAGGUCAUAGUGAUCCGGUGGUUCUGAAUGGAAGGGCCAUCGCUCAACGGAUAAAAGGUACUCCGGGGAUAACAGGCUGAUACCGCCCAAGAGUUCAUAUCGACGGCGGUGUUUGGCACCUCGAUGUCGGCUCAUCACAUCCUGGGGCUGAAGUAGGUCCCAAGGGUAUGGCUGUUCGCCAUUUAAAGUGGUACGCGAGCUGGGUUUAGAACGUCGUGAGACAGUUCGGUCCCUAUCUGCCGUGGGCGCUGGAGAAUUGAGGGGGGCUGCUCCUAGUACGAGAGGACCGGAGUGGACGCAUCACUGGUGUUCGGGUUGUCAUGCCAAUGGCAUUGCCCGGUAGCUAAAUGCGGAAGAGAUAAGUGCUGAAAGCAUCUAAGCACGAAACUUGCC
rnacentral:rRNA from 2 species